GUCAGACACAUUCCAGCCAAUCAGCAGCAGACCCUCCCUCCCAGACCCUCCCACCUCCUGGACAGCAUCCAUUUUACAUUCAUUGUGAAGCUGCAUUCUUAGUGAGCUGUCCAGGAGGUGGGAGGGUCUGGGAGGGAGGGUUUGCUGCUGAUUGGCUGGAAUGUUUCUG